rnacentral:tRNA from 1 species
GUUUCUGUAGCUUAACCAAAGCAAGGCACUGAAGAUGCCAAGAUGGCACCGUUUGCACGCCCAGCAACA